UAGGGAAUAUUGCGCAAUGGACGAAAGUCUGACGCAGCCACGCCGCGUGAGUGAGGAAGGCCUUCGGGUUGUAAAGCUCUGUCAUUCGGGAAAAACAGCCAGGUGGGGAAAGUUCAUCUGGUUUGAUGGUACCGAAGGAGGAAGCACCGGCAAACUCUGUGCCAGCAGCCGCGGUAAUACAGAGGGUGCAAGCGUUGUUCGGAAUUACUGGGCGUAAAGCGUGCGUAGGCGGUAUUGAGAGUCACGGGUGAAAUCCCAGGGCUUAACCCUGGAACUGCCUGUGAGACCUCAGUACUAGAGUGUGAGAGAGGAUGGUGGAAUACCCAGUGUAGCGGUGAAAUGCGUAGAGAUUGGGUGGAACACCGGAGGCGAAGGCGGCCAUCUGGCUCACAACUGACGC
rnacentral:rRNA from 1 species